rnacentral:pre_miRNA from 1 species
UGGAGCCCAACAGGAGCGACAUGAGAUCACAUGUGGUCGGUACUACUUUCUUACUGUAUCUUUCAUGUGUGUUCUCAGGUCGCCCCUGCAGGGCUUCC